GAUGAAGAACGCAGCAAAAUGCGAUAAGUAAUGUGAAUUGCAGAAUUCAGUGAAUCAUCGAAUCUUUGAACGCACAUUGCGCCCAUUAGUAUUCUAGUGGGCAUGCCUGUUCGAGCGUCAUUUCAACCCUUAAGCCUAGCUUAGUGUUAGGAAUCUGCUGUAUUGCAGUUCCUCAAAUACAACGGCGGAUCUGUAACAUCCUCUGAGCGUAGUAAAUUUUUAUCUCGCUUUUGUUAGGUGUUGCAGCUCUCAGCCGCUAAACCCCCCAAUUUUUGUGGUUGACCUCGGAUCAGGUAGGAAUACCCGCUGAACUUAAGCAUAUCAAUAAGCGGAGGA
rnacentral:misc_RNA from 1 species